rnacentral:rRNA from 1 species
AGCAGCCGCGGUAAUUCCAGCUCCAAUAGCGUAUAUUAAAGUUGUUGCAGUUAAAAAGCUCGUAGUUGAAUUUCGGGAUCAAUAUGUCGGUCGUGCCUCGGUACGUACUGGCGUCAUUGGUUUCUCCCUUCUGAAGAACCUCGAUGUCAUUAAUUUGGUGUCGUGGGGAAUCAGGACUGUUACUUUGAAAAAAUUAGAGUGUUUAAAGCAGGCUCGCGCUUGAAUACAUUAGCAUGGAAUAAUGAAAUAGGACGUUUGAUUCUAUUUUGUUGGUUUCUAGGAUCGACGUAAUGAUUAAUAGGGAUAGUUGGGGGCAUUAGUAUUCAAUUGUCAGAGGUGAAAUUCUUGGAUUUAUUGAAGACUAACUACUGCGAAAGCAUUUGCCAAGGAUGUUUUCAUUAAUCAAGAACGAAAGUUAGGGGAUCGAAGACGAUCAGAUACCGUCGUAGU